rnacentral:lncRNA from 1 species
GCAUACUUAAUACAAGCUUCGCACUCAAAAGUUAAAUCUCAUACAAUAUAUGCUAUGUUCCUUAAAUUCAUUGUGACUAUUGAGGGAUUGUGUCACUUGAUCAGCAACAAAGAGGAGGAAACUUUUCACUUAUAUUUCACCAAAUCAGCUUGUAGAGCUUAUGGUGAGCAACCAAGGUCAUAAAGGGGAAGGGAGGAGUUGUUCAUGGUGGUGAGCGGCAUCGAUCUCAAGGAGGGGAGUGA